UCAGGGGAGUGCCGGGGUGCCUGGGCUCCCUGCAUGAAUGUCUGCAGCAGCUCCCUGUCAUCGCUGCAGCGAGUCUGCUCCGGCUGCAACCCUGAUGUAGAGUGAGGUCUUGGUCGUGAUCUCAGGUUCAUCCUAGUCUGCUCUGCAUAUGUUUUAAAAGUCUAGCUCUUUGGAGCUCCUUUGUGGUGCAUUUGCAGUAGCUCUGAUGUGGCUAGCAGAGAUCUACUGCAUCCUGGCUGCCAGCCACCUCCUGGACUGGGAUCCCGAGAUUAAUGGUUGCAGUGACUUGAAACACUCCUGGGAACAACUCUAGGUGGCUCUAGGUAGCCCAAUAACUUUUAAUGGGAGAAGUCGAGCAUCAGCAACUCUACAGACAAUGACAACAGCAAGACCUAAAAAAUGCAAGGAAAUGCAGAAUAAGAUGAAGAAAGAAAACCAAAAGGAUGAGUGUGGAAAAGAUACAGCAAGUUUAAACCAAAUGGAGAUAAGAAUAAAAAGCUAUGCAAAAAAAGUGGAUGAAAAUAUUAGAUAUUGACCGAGGAUAAAAAUUUUAAAAUACAAGAGGUUUUUUAAAUACAGCUCACUGGGCUUGGUUGUGAUGGGAACAGAGCUGCUAAAUAGUGACUGCGUAUGACAGACAACUGAUUCUCACUUCUUUUCUCCCUAUGCUGUCAGGAGGGAGUUGUUCAUGAGUUGUUUUCCUGUGCUAUUAGAAGGGUUUGAUCCUGAAAUGAUGGGUUUUGCAUAAGAGAGAAAAACCAGCCUGAUGAAGUUUUGUCUGUGUGCGGUGGAGGAAAAUAUUCGAGAACUGCUACACAAUUUGAAAUGUCCAUCAUCUCUGGAUUCAGAAGGCUCAUUCCCUCCCUGUAAAAGAGACCCUGCAAGUGUUGCUUCAUCCCUGAAAUUUAUCACUAGAGGCUGACAUGUAACAAAGGCACAGAGCCACAGAAACUGGUCUUAUACCUUCUUUUAACUGUGCCUAAGGCCCAUGGAUCACUGCCAUGUUAAAAAUCUUGUUGUAAAGCUAGGAAGGGUGUUUCAGUGCUGGCUCACAGACUGUGCACAGCACUGCACUGGUGAGGUAGUUAUAGUACAGAUGAUGUGUGGGUCCAGUCAAACAUCUCCACCCUAGUGCUAUGUGCUAUGUAAUGUCCCUAAUUUUCCAGCUACUGGGAAAAAACUGGUGCUGCAAUGUGUUGAAUGGCCAGAGCUACCCUCAGACAGAAUUACCUCUGUGAUCUAGCACUUCUCAGCAGAUAUAAAUCUUCUACAAGGACAUUAGGGGCUUGCACAUGUACCUGGACAUUUGCUAAAGUACCCAGUUUCUUUAGGCUCUCAGAAGCAUGAGUUCAGAUCUCUUUAGCAUAACAGCUUUUUGUCUUAAUGUAGAAUUUCACUACUCUUACUUUUAGGUCCUUGCAAGAAAGAAUGUCUCAGUUAGCCAUAAAAAGAGAAUGUAACAUAUGGAACCGGUUUUUUAAAGUGAUUUUGAUGGACACUUCACAACAGUCUAUAUUACUAUUUACUCCCAGCAGGAGGUAGGCAAAGAUGUGUGGGUGGAUGGCAGUCAAGACUGUGGGCUUAUCAGCUUGGCAGACUGCAGUAUGGUGCAGUGCUACUGCGGAUCACCUCAGACAGGCUCAUUCACAUACUCAGGUUUUAGCCAUGGCAGUGUGGAACAGAGCAUCAACCCCUUUUCCUCACAGGGAAGUGCAGUGGAACACUGUUCACUAAACAGGUGCAGGUAGUGUGGCUGGACUGUUCUUGCCUCCAAACUGUUGUGUGAAUCUUACACUGCAAGUAAACAUGCAUUGUAAAAAGCAGAAUAUCAGUAACAAGAGUCACUCAGUAAAGAGUAACUGGAACACUCAGGCAAAAGAAGAUGAAUUUACUUGAGCAAAGAUUUUACUUUUGUGGUCUGUUUGAUUCCCAGGUAGUAAGCCUCAACAAAAACAUGUGGCAUGACUGGCAUACUGUUCAGUAGCCUAGCAAGGACUAAUAGCUAAAUACAUCUUGAACAUAGGAUCACCCACAAUCCAUUUUGCACAUUAGGUUGUCCCUUCUGAAAUAAGGUUCAUAGAGCUUGGAGGAUGCAGACAGCGAUGAUGACAGACUUGGGAUUUACUCCAGGAAGAACUAAAAGGGCUUUAGUCUGCUCUGGGAUGUCAGUCUUUGACCUUAUGUAGAGAUAAAUGAAGAGAAGGUCAACAGAAGGGAAAGAGGGACUAUUUCAUGAUAUUCAGCAGAGACAUUGAACAAAUACUGUGAUACUGAAGUUGCUCUACUGCAUUCACCCUUACUGAGAAUUCUGUAUUCAAAAGAUAAAUAUAUACAAGACUUCUGGGUCUGAGUGUAUUACAAGCCAUUUAUUUCAUUCCCUUGUUAAAUGUUUUAAAAUAAGAUUAAAGACUCUUUAUAAGAU